ACAAUACGAACCCCAGAAACACAAAUGUUUAAUGUACACAGGCAUAGAUGUGUGCUGAUUGUGGAUUUAUUUUGUAUUCCUGCGUGCGUAUCUUCAAUGACCUUUAAUCCGUUUCAGAAAGCGCUUUAAUAAUGUAAUGUAUCGACUUGUUUCAUAGUUUGUCUGAUUGUGUAACUGUACUCUUUUUGUAAACAAGCAGUCGUUACGUAUGUUACAUUGCAAUGCAACAAUGUUUCAUUUCUUAUGCCAAAAAUCUAUGUAUAGAACAGUUAUUAAAUGCAAACAUGUGGUCCAAAAGCAAGCACUUCUGAAACGAAACCCAAUGCACGGAACAUGGAGGUCUUUCAACGCUGAACAUACUUGUUUUGAAUCAAGAGCACUUCCUAUAGUUCAUCAUGUCAAGUACAUAUGUGACCUCCCUGAAAACCACAGGUUUCCCAUGGGAAAGUUUCCCAAAGUCCUGGAGAGUCUACUUAGAGAUCAAAUCAUAACAGAUAAACAGGUGUGGGCCCCUAAGAUUGCCUCCACAGAGCUUCUGGGAUGUGUGCAUACUGAGGAGUACCUGUCUAACUUUAUUAGCGGACAAAUCAGUGAGAAAGAUCAGAGACGAACCGGAUUCCCAUGGAGUUCUGGUUUAGUACAACGCUGCAGAUAUGAAACAGGUGGCACCGUGCUGGCAGGAGAAAUCGCCCUGCAGAGGGGACUGGCGUGCAGUACAGCCGGAGGGACCCAUCAUGCCUUUCCCAGCUACGGCUCAGGUUUCUGUCUGCUCAAUGACCUGGCUGUGGCUGCCAAACACUUGAUGGGUGAGUCCACAUCCUGGAGGAAGAUUCUCAUCGUGGAUUUGGAUGUACAUCAGGGUGACGGCACAGCAUUCAUAUUUAAGGACGAACCCAAUGUUUUCACCUUCUCAGUGCAUUGUGGGAAAAACUUUCCUGUGCGAAAGCAGCAGAGUAACCUAGAUGUCAGUUUGGAAGAUGGCACUGAAGACAAAGAGUAUCUUUCCAAAGUGAUUUUGUGCAUUUGAACCCUUUCCAACAAUAACUGUAUGAUUUUGAGAUCCAUCUUUUCACACUGAGGACAACUGAGGGGCUCAUAUGCAACUACUACAGAAGGUUCAAACGCUCAUUGAUGCAUUUAUGCACUCUAAAUUAUGCAUGUAGAGCCAGGGGUGAAAACUUUUGAACAGAAUGAAGAUGUGUAAUUUUUUUCUUAUUUUGCCUAAAUAUCGCUUUUUUCCAUUUAGUACUGCCUUUCAGAAGCUACUUGCAUAUUUGCCAGAAGACAAAAUAAGUUAAAUUUACCCUGAUCUUCAAAUUUCCAAAAGUUUUCACCCCCUAAAUGCAUCUAAAUGCAUUGUGUAAAUAAUUUCAAUAAAUCUCUAUUAAAGGAAUAGUUGAAAUUGUACUCACCCUCAGGCCAUCCAAGAUGUAGAUGAGUUUGUUUCUUCAUUGGAAAAGAGUUGGAGAAAUUUACCAUCACAUCACUUGAUCUUAAGUGAAUGGGUGCCGUCAAAAUGACAGUCCAAACAGCUGAUAAAAACAUCACAGUUAUCCAAAAGAAUUCCACACAACUCCAGUUUAAUUAAUGUCUUGUGGAGUGAAAAGUAGUGUUUGUAAGACACAAAUUCAUCAUUAUGGCUUUUUAAAUUUAAACCCUCUGGUCAAAAAAAAGUCUAUAACCCAUAAUAACACUUCCUAAAGUGAAAAUGUCCAUCCCACAUGUCCUCUCACAUAAAAAUCCAUUGACGUAUAUAUGUUUCGAACUGUUUUCACUUGCAAACGGUGUUUGAUCUGUGCAUACUUCUCUCCUGAUUCAAAUCAUUUUCACUGAAAAAGCAAUAUUACAGAUAGAGGACAUGUAUUGUAUUUUAGUCAGAAGCAAUGGUUUAAAGUUAAAAACGUCUUAAAAAUGGAUUUGUUUUUUAUAAACAUAGAGCAUUCCACUUCACAAGAUGUUAACUGAUCAACAGAGUCAUGUUGUGGCUUACCGUGAUGUUUUUAUCAGUUGUUUGAACUCUAAUUUUGACAACACCCAUUCACUGCAGAGGAUCCAUUGGUGAGGAAGUGAUGUAAUGCUGAAUUUCUUCAAAUUUCCACUACUCCUUUAAGUAAGCUUAUGUGUGGUACUAUGGUAAAAAAUGCAUUAAGUCGUUUCCUGUGCAGUCCAGGAACACUUCCCUUGGAUACUGGAGACAUUCCGGCCGGAUCUAGUGCUGUAUGAUUCUGGAGUGGAUCCACACUGGGAGGAUGAACUUGGAAGACUUUGUCUCACAGAUGAAGGACUUUACCAGAGGGAUCUUUAUGUACUUCAG